rnacentral:misc_RNA from 1 species
GUCGCUUCAUUGUGACUGUAAACAAAACCACCCAAUAGAAUAGAAGAAUAGGCCAAAACACAGGCACAUCGAACACACUGAAGAACGUCAGGACAAAAGCAAUACAGAAUGCUUUAACAAUGGAAUACCAGAAUUUGAACUCCGGAAGGCGACGGACGAAAGGGCGGAACUCGUCAGAUGCGCGGGUGGGGAGCGCGGCCCCCCCCUCGCCGAGCACCUCG